rfam:Elizabethkingia anophelis NTHP1, complete genome.
CGACAAGCGCGGCCUGUUGAUCCGUAAGGGUAGGAAAGUCCGGACACCAUAGGGCAGCAUAGCGGUUAAUGGCCGUCAUCCGUGAGGGUAGGACAAGUGCAACAGAAAGCAAGUACAGUUCGGCUGUAGUGAAACCAGGUAAACUCUAUGCGGUGCAAUGCUAUGUAUACCGGCAAUUAAGGGCGGCUCGUCCAUGUCGGGGGGUAAGCAGCUACAUCGUAUCGGCAACGGUACGGGCAGAUAAAUAACAGGCAUCCCGCUCCCUUGUGAGCGGGAUACAGAAUCCGGCUUAUAGCGCUUGUCUUUUU